UACAGAGGGGGCAAGCGUUGUUCGGAAUUACUGGGCGUAAAGGGCGCGUAGGCGGCCCGCUAAGUCGAACGUGAAAUCCCCGAGCUCAACUCGGGAACUGCGUCCGAUACUGGCGGGCUUGAAUCCGGGAGAGGGAUGCGGAAUUCCAGGUGUAGCGGUGAAAUGCGUAGAUAUCUGGAGGAACACCGAUGGCGAAGGCAGCCCCCUGGGCUAACACUGACGCUCAUGCACGAAAGCGUGGGGAGCAAACAGG
rnacentral:rRNA from 1 species